AGGAAUUCAUUGAAGAGCUGCUGUCUCCCCCCUUCGGGGGUCUGGUGGCGUUUGUGAAGGAGGCUGAAGGUUUGAUUGAGCGAGGACAGGCCGACCGACUUCGAGGGGAAGAAGGUAUGAGGCUGUUGUCAGGGACCGAGUGUAGAUCUCUGUG